GUGUCUUACAAGCGUCGCCGUCCCUCGGGUUGGUGGGAGAGACAGGCCCUUACCCCGCCCCUUGGGCUCCAACCCUCUUCAUUUAAAACACAAAGUUGAGGAUCCAGCGGGUGUUAACUCCGAAGUCUUAGGCCCUUCCUUCGGGCCUUUGCUCCCUGAGGACUUCGAGCCUCGCGCAACUCAGGGAUUUGGGGAGGCGCGAGCCAGGAGGAGGCCGGAACGAUUCCUUCGCGGAACCUUUGGGGCGAGGCCUCUGGGAGCGCGAGGACAGGAACGGACCGCGGCGGACCCGACUAGACUGGCAGGGAUGGCGGCGGCGGCCGACGCGGGGCAGGGGGGCGCCGUCUCGGUGGACCUGCGGCACGAGCGGCGCAUGGUGUGUGUGGAGUACCCGGGCCUGGUGCGCGACGUGUCCAAGAUGCUGCUGACCCUGGGCGGCGAGGAAAGCGUCUCCCGGAUCUAUGCGGACCCCAGCAAGAGGCUGGAGCUCUACUUCCGGCCCAAGGACCCUUACUGCCACCCAGUGUGUGCCAACCGCUUCAGUACCAGCAGCCUGCUGCUCCGGAUCAAGAGGAGGCGGCAGCGGGGGGUGCCGGGGUCCGAGGCCCGCCUCGACCUGCAGGUCCUUGGCAUUGUCGCCACCGUUUACAAAUUUCAAGGGCUGUCCGACUUCCAGUACCUGGCGGUGCACACGGAGCCGGGCGGCCGGCAGGUGUCCAUGUACGACAAGGUGCUCAUGCUCAAGCCCGAGAAGGAGAGCUUCUUCCACCAGGAGCUGCCGCUCUACAUCCCGCCGCCCAUCUUCUCGCGGCUCGACACCCCCGUGGACUACUUCUACCGCCCGGAGACGCAGCACCGGGAAGGCUACAACAACCCCCCGAUCUCAGGCGAGAACGUGAUCGGCCUGAGCAGGGCCCGGCGCCCCCACAAUGCCAUCUUCGUCAACUUCGAGGACGACGGGGUGCCCGCGCAGCCCCUGGAGGCUGCGGUGCAGACGUGGAAGAAGGUCUGCACCAACCCCCUGGACCAGAAGGUGGAGAAGGAGCUGAGGAAGCUGUUUGAGAUCCGUCCCAUCUGGUCGCGUAACGCCGUCAAGGCCAACAUCAGCAUCCACCCCGACAAGCUCAAGGUGCUGCUGCCCUUCAUGGCCUAUUACAUGAUAACUGGUCCCUGGAGAAGCCUGUGGAUUCGAUUCGGGUACGACCCCCGCAAACAGCCGGAGGCCAAGAUUUAUCAAGUCCUUGACUUCCGGAUCCGCUGCGGGAUGAAGCACGGCUACGCCCCCAGUGACAUGCCUGUCAAGGCCAAGCGCAGCGCCUACAACUACAGCCUCCCCAUCACCGUCAAGAAGACACCCAGCCCGCUUGUCACCAUGCAUGACCUGAAGCAGGGCCUGGCCCCCUCCCGGAUGAUCAGUGCACGGAGGUCGGCCUCCAACAACUACAAGCUUAAGGACUCCAUCUACAUCUUCCGGGAGGGGGCCUUGCCGCCGUACCGCCAGAUGUUCUACCAGUUAUGCGACCUGAACGUGGACGAGUACGUACGUGAGGGGCCCCGCGACGCCGAGGUGGGGACCCUGGGACUCGGGGACCGAGGUGUGGCCUGCAGCUCUAGGCCGGCCCGGAGAGGGCUCUGCCCGGGCUCACGUGGGCCCGGAAGCUCUUUCCAGGCUGCAGUGCGGGCCUCGGCUCGGGGCUGGGUCUUUGCCUUCCUCUGCUCCUGCCCUUGUGGGGGUUCACGACACGGUUCCCCAUCCCCAGAGCCAAGCCGACCAGAGUCCCUGAAACCUUUAAUCCAGUUGUUCUCAGUGAUGCUUGAAAAACCAGGGGCCGCGGUGGGAGCGGAGGGGACGGCAGAGCGGUGACCACGGCUCGGGGCUCUCAGCAGGGAGACGCGCGCACGCCUGAUUCGCCAGCGGGGUGGGCUUCGGGCUCGCGCUGGUUAGGGCCCGGCUGGGGCCGGCCGGCUCGCACGGACCUUCUCACGACCAUGCUCGUCCCUCCAAGUGCCGUCGGAGCGCGGCGCCAGCUCUGCCAGGACCGCUCGCCGGCCCCUGGAGCAGGGACCUCACCCCGGAACUUUGUUCCCAACCCCAGGCUGCAGAAGGUCAUUCACCGCAAUGACGGGGCCGAGGGCCCCUGCACAGAGCGGGACGGGUGGUGCCUGCCCAAGACCAGCGACGACCUCCGGGACGCCAUGUCCCUCAUGAUCCGGCAGACCAUCCGCGCCAAGAGGCCUGCUCUCUUCUCCGGCCCGGACAAAGCUGACAGCGGGAAAGAACAGCUGACCUGCGACUCUGGGGAGGACGAGGAGGAGGAGGAGGACGAGGAGGAGGAGGAGGAGGAGGACUUCAAGCCGUCCGACGGGAGUGAGAACGAGAUGGAGACGGAGAUUCUGGACUAUGUGUGACACAGCUCUGGGUCCCCCCCAACCAGGCCUGACGGGGAGACAGGCCGCCAGGGCCCCCAGUGCUGCCUGCGGCAGCCAGAAUGGCCCUGGGAGGCCCCCUGAGGAAAGCCGGGCGCGGCCCUGGUUCUGCCCUUGACCUGUUGCCUGGAGCUGCCCUCUGGCCCUGGGUGCUUGGGGACAUCCCGAAGGCUGGGCCCUGCUUCACAGCCACGAGCCAGCCCCGUGUCCAGCAGGCUGAGCCGGCGCCCGGCGCCUCCUUCCAGCUGAAACCAGCCGGAGCCGGAGGUGGCGGUGUGGGUCCGGCUGGUCUCAGGCUUGGCGGCAGGCACAGGCAAGAAGCCCGGUCCAUGGUGACAGGUGGCUGAAGACUGCCUUUGGGAUUGGACCUCGUUCAUCUGGGGUGGCCCGACGAAAGGCAGGCCCGCUGGAAUUGUCCUUAUUAAACACGUUUUCCCCAGGA